rnacentral:lncRNA from 1 species
UCAUACUUAAACAAAAUGACUUAACAUAGAAAAUUUCCAGCAUAAAAAUAACAUGGACCUUUGCUGUGUUUUUAAAACAUAACCGGAGCUAUGGGUCUCCAAAUUAAAUGAAAUUAGAGUCAUUAGAAAGAUAAGACAAAAUGAUACAAAUGUUAUGAAGGGAUCACAGCCCAGAUCAAUAUGGAAGAUAACAAAACAAAGCUAGGAACACAGACUGACAGACCAGACCUGAUUCAGCAGAACCAAGUCCAUUGUUUCUUGAAUUCCUACUAAACCCC